UCCUCUUUUGACCACGCAAAGCCUUAAAACAGUUAAACCUACUCCUUUCCUACUUCCCAUUCCCAUUCUCUCCCCUCUCUAAUCCAUUUUCUUCCUCCAAUGGCCGGAGACGGUCCGUCGGAGAUUCAGAUCCGGGUCAACUCACGUCGAAGUAGCAGCGGCGGCGGUGGCGUGGUUCAUCCAGUUGAGGUAGACACUCCUCAGCAGCUAACGUCUCCAACACCACCCGUAUAUCGAGAAGUAAAGCAUUUCAAGAAAUGGAUCCCUUGGUUAAUCCCUCUAUUUGUUAUUGCCAAUACUCUUAUGUUCAUAAUCACCAUGUACGUAAACAAUUGCCCUGAUAAUUCAGAUUCUUGUAUAGCUAAGUUCUUGGGUAGGUUCUCGUUUCAGCCUUUUAAAGAGAACCCUCUUCUGGGUCCGUCAUCCACUACGCUUCUAAGGAUGGGGGCUCUUGAUGUGACCAAAGUGGUGGAAGGUCACCAGGGAUGGCGUCUUAUUACUUGUAAUUGGUUACACGGAGGGCUUUUUCAUAUAUUGGCAAAUAUGUUGAGCCUUUUGGUUAUUGGUAUUCGGCUCGAGCAAGAAUUUGGAUUUGUCCGAAUCGGUUUGCUGUAUGUCAUUUCUGGAUUUGGUGGAAGUUUGUUCUCUGCACUUUUCCUCCAGUCAAACAUAUCUGUUGGUGCUUCCGGUGCUCUUUUUGGGUUAUUGGGAGGAAUGCUUUCUGAACUCAUCACCAAUUGGACAAUAUAUGUUAAUAAGUUUGCAGCACUUUUCACUCUUGUGGUCAUCAUAGCUAUUAACUUGGCAGUGGGAAUUCUUCCACAUGUGGACAACUUUGCUCAUCUUGGAGGGUUUCUUUCCGGUUUCCUUCUUGGGUUUGUGUUUCUCAUCCGGCCACAGUUUGGAUGGGUUAGCCAAAGGUAUACUCCAGGAUUUAUGUCACCAACACCACCUGUUCCAGCUAAAUCUAAAUUCAAGACAUAUCAAUGCAUAUUGUGGAUCGUUUCGCUUAUACUUUUGAUUGUUGGGCUAACAGUCGGGUUGGUUCUGCUACUCCGGGGAGUUGAUGCAAAUGAACAUUGUUCUUGGUGUCAUUAUUUGUCUUGUGUCCCAACCUCAAAAUGGAGCUGCAAGACUGAGCCUGCAUUCUGCUUGUCGAGUCAGAUGGGUAAUCAGCUCAACUUAACAUGCUCCAGCAACAACAAAACUAACAUAUAUACUGUGUUCAACCCCAGCAGUUCAAGGAUUCAGGGGUUAUGUACACAGCUCUGUGGUUGAUUAAACCAUUCAUUCGGUAGCUUCCUAUUGUAUAAUAUACUCUUGCAGAUUCCUGAGCUAUGUUAAGUUUUUAGGCACACUAUCUUUGCUUAUUCUGUAAUCAAAUAUUCGUAAGGCAAGGGAUUUCUAAGUCAAAGAAAUGGGUAAACUAAAGGGUAAGUUUUAAUUCAUUGUAACAUAACAACUGUAUUUUGUUUUAGAAUACAUUAAGAUUUGUUUGCUACGCCUUUAGAUCCUAUUGUAUUGUUUAUUUUAUUAAAUUUGGUUUUAUAUUAUAUUUUAUAUAGAACAUUAUUUACUAGUGGUGUCUAGCACUACUUAGAGGUCUUACUUUGUGAUUAGUUAGCGACAUUAUAUAAAAGUUAUCAUAUUAAAUUA